rnacentral:tRNA from 1 species
GGCAGUAUGGCCGAGUGGUUAAGGCGGUAGACUGUGCGUUAACCAAUCACAACCCGCAAAACAUAAAACCUUCUUAGCUAACUGUCUUCACUAGUGAAUCCUAAAUCAGGAAGUUAUCUACUCCCUUCGGGGACCUGCGUUCGAACCGCAGUGCUGUCG